UUUCAGCUGAGAUGGGAAGAAUUAACAUAUGUAAAGCGUUUAUGGCAGUGUCUGGUACAUCGGAGAUGCUCAAAAAUUAUUAGUUGUAAUUAUUUAACUUAUUUUUUUUAAAGCUGCUCAUGAACACAUACUAAUAAGAUGAGCCAUGUUCUUAUAUUUAUUACACAAUUUUUAAGUGUCUCCUAUGUGCUGAGUCCUGUAUUACAUAAAGAUAAUCAUUUCAAAUCCUCAGCAGUUUUCAAGUGGAUGGGAGGUAGACAAGCCAACACAUUUACAGGAGAGAAUAAGUAUGAUAAGCACCAGGAGCAUGACAUGGCACAUGGUGCCAUGGGAGAAGUAAAUGGGACCAUGGCCUAGUUUGGAGGACAUGUUCAAAACAAUCUAUGAUUCUCUAAGCAAAACAGCUCCAUCAAGAGUAUUGCCAACCUUUCCCUUGGGGGACACAGAGACUCAGGCAAGAAAAAGUAAAAGGAGGCUAGACAUCUGUCCCCAGUGGAAAAAAGGAAGAACACACCUGGAGAGCAGCUAAGACAAAGAGACUCGGAAGGAAAAGAACAGUAAUCAAAAGACCAUACUACCAACUGUUGCUGGUUUAUAAAAUACAUCCAACUGUUGCUGGUUUAUAAAAUACAACUGUUCCUGAAGGAAAGAAAUACAGUAACAAUUAUACUAAAAACUGGAACAAGGAGGGGUUGUGCCACAUUGUAUAUCCUUCAUGGCUUAGCUCUGAUGACACUCCUUCCAGGAACUUUUCCCAGCAUGCCCUGAACUCAAUUUGGAUCAAGAGACAAGCCUGAGAUUGCCAAGCAUCCUGUGCACACUUUAUUUAUGCAUCAUUCAUUCAUUCACCUACUAUUCGAGUGCACCUAGCAUGCUUGAAGAGUUAGGGCAAUAAAAGUAAGCAAGGUAUAAAUAGCCCUUAACACAA